GAGCUAGAAAGGGGAGGAGAGAAGAUGAGCGGAAGGCUUAGUGAGGAGCAAUGGAGUUUGCUGCCUCAUGGUCAAAAGCUAGCCUGAAGAAUCCUCUCAUGGAAGGUCUUCUGCAGAUCCUUGGGAGACAGAAUUGCAGGAAGCCUGAAUUCUCUUCCUGGAGUUUGGGGGACUUGCAACAGGGUUUGAAGGAAGCUUUGGUUUGGUUGGAGAAGGGAGACUAAACUGAGGUUUGUCCACCUUCUGUGGCAGGCCUUUCGGAUUAUCAAACAUGCAAAAGCUUGAAGCAGGUUGUGCCAAGCAGCUGGAUAUAAAACAAGAACAUCUCAACUAACAGAGAAAAAUAAAAGCUCAUAGACUUUAAUGUAUUUUGACAUUCAAGGCUGCUCCCUAUGAAUCUCAAUGAUUAUCAUAAGAACAUUUAAGACUAGGCUAAUUCUUUGAAUACACACUUCAGUGGAGAUUUUUUCCUCACUGUUUGAUUAAAGAGGCUCAGCAAAAUCAGCCCUAUACUCUUGCACAACUGACCAAAGAAAGGAACUAGGAAUCAGUCAAAUGGUGUCAAAAACUUGUCAUGCUGCCCAGUAGCAAGUUUUUACAUUUUAUCUACCAAGUCAUAUUGGUUCUACAGCAAACCUUCCAAGAUUUGUAUACUCCAAGAUUUGUAUACUUGGCAAACAAGUUUUAUUUGGCUGACCAGGUCCAUGCUUACUAUUCAUGCCUCUUUUCAAAGUGCCAUGUUUUACUGGGGGAAAAGGUUUAACAGCAUCAUUGCAAGAAUUAGGCAAGUAAACCCAAUUUACCAAGUGUGUGCUACUAUUCAUAAACUAGAAAGAAUCAGCUCACCUGAAGGCAGUACUAGACUUCUCUUACAUGCCAUAAUACAUGUACAUGUAUUAUGUACACUCUUUUCAAAGUGCUAUGUUUUACUGGGGGAAAGGUUUAACAGCAUCAUUGCAGGAAUUAGGCAAGUAAACCCAAUUUACCAAGCGUGUGCUACUAUUCAUAAACAAGAAAGAAUCAGCUCACUUGAAGGCAGUACUAGACUUUUCUUACAUGCCAUAAUACAUUUACAUACAUCCCUACAGAACCAGCACUUGCAGAUUUUGUUAACCUUUGUAACCUGCACCUCAUAUGGGCAUUUCUGUGCCUAGUAAGGAGCACUGCAUUUACAAAUAUCCAUCAACUUUGGCAUGAUAUCGUUACACUAAAAGCUGCCCUGAACCACCAGGUACAUACACCAAGUCAAUUAGUUCUUUUUGGACUUAUCAAAGUAGUGCACAGAUCAGGCUGUCCUUUUUGACAUUAUAAGACUAGUAACGUAUUUAUGUUCUAGGCAUUGCAAAUGAAAACCGAUUUAAGAGGGAUAAUUCUCUCACACCUUUUCCCUAUUUCGAUCUUUAGACAAUGUGUAGGAAAGAGAUAGGUCCAUUUUAUGGCACAACAGUCUAGGCUAUAUUGUAUCAUGUAGAACAUUUCAAACACCCAUUUCUAAGGUCUAAUUUCCAUUUACAUGAUAAACCCGUAUGUAGAAGAUUAUACCACUUUAGAAUGCAGGUGCAGACCCAAUCAGAUUGAAUGGUUUUCAUUUCAUUCCCUGCAAAGAGCAAACAAAAUUUCAAGGAGAAACAUUCUACCCUAGCACUCCUUCAUGUGAUCUUCCAUCUGUAAUCUGAAGUAAUACAAUUGAAACAAAUUUACCACCUCAUUGAAAAGUACAAUUUCCAUUCAAUUAAUGCAUAAAGCUUUCUUUGUCAGCAACAAGGCCAUCAGCUCCCAAUGUCAGAAAAAGACAAAACCCAGCCAGUUGUUGAAAAAUGUGAAGCAAGCAUGCAAAUUAAAGACUUCAUCCAGAAAUGAAGCUUUGCUCACAUGCCAUGGUGCAGAUCUGCUGGCACGACAGCAAGAAAGCAGGCAGAAAGCUAUGUUAUUAUGGAUAUGCUCUGCUUUUUUAAUGAAAAGUUCAUAAAGUGUUAUAUUAUGAUUUGUAUUAUUGUUACUGUUUGCUGUUAAAUGUGUUUGCAUUGUGAUCAGCUCUGGCCACAAUUAUUUUGUGGAAAAGCAGGAUACAAGUUAAAAGUGAAAUGAAAUCAAAUGAAUAAACUGAAACAGUCUUUCUAGCAUCAUAGUAGUUCAAUGAGUGUGAUCUGCUCCCCUGACAACAUUCCUCAAACCUGACCUGCCACUUGAACGUGUCAGAUUUCCAAGUUUGUGGU